UUGCCUACGGGAGGCAGCAGUGGGGAAUAUUGCACAAUGGGGGAAACCCUGAUGCAGCGACGCCGCGUGAGUGAAGAAGUAUUUCGGUAUGUAAAGCUCUAUCAGCAGGGAAGAAAAAAGACGGUACCUGACUAAGAAGCCCCGGCUAACUACGUGCCAGCAGCCGCGGUAAUACGCAGGGGGCGAGCGUUAUCCGGAUUCACUGGGUGUAAAGGGAGCGUAGACGGCCAUGCAAGCCAGGGGUGAAAGCCCGGGGCCCAACCCCGGGACUGCCCUUGGAACUGCAUGGCUGGAGUGCGGGCGGG
rnacentral:rRNA from 1 species